CUCAUUAAUAGGUACACAGUUUUCCCCAAUUCGUGGAUGUACCCUAAAUACAGGGGGUACACCUUUGAAUGAGGGGUCCCCUGGUAGCCCUGAUCUGGGUGAGCAACAUACUCAAAAUUCACCCAGAUCGGACCAGGUGUUCGGGAGUUAUUGCAGGAGGAAGAUUUGACCGACCGCACGGGCACAGUAGCUGAAAAUAGUUCCAUGAAUUCUGGCCCUGCGGUCGGUCUCCUUUCGUGAAUAAAAAGUCCCGAAAGUCUAUG